AUUGAACGCUGGCGGCAGGCUUAACACAUGCAAGUCGAGCGGAGCGAGGGUGCUUGCACCUUAGCUUAGCGGCGGACGGGUGAGUAAUGCUUAGGAAUCUGCCUAUUAGUGGGGGACAACAUUCCGAAAGGAAUGCUAAUACCGCAUACGCCUUACGGGGGAAAGCAGGGGAUCUUCGGACCUUGCGCUAAUAGAUGAGCCUAAGUCGGAUUAGCUAGUUGGUGGGGUAAAGGCCUACCAAGGCGACGAUCUGUAGCGGGUCUGAGAGGAUGAUCCGCCACACUGGGACUGAGACACGGCCCAGACUCCUACGGGAGGCAGCAGUGGGGAAUAUUGGACAAUGGGCGGAAGCCUGAUCCAGCCAUGCCGCGUGUGUGAAGAAGGCCUUUUGGUUGUAAAGCACUUUAAGCGAGGAGGAGGCUCUUAAGGUUAAUACCCUUGAUGAGUGGACGUUACUCGCAGAAUAAGCACCGGCUAACUCUGUGCCAGCCGCCGCAGUAACAC
rnacentral:rRNA from 1 species